GAUGCUGCUGUUUCUGCAGUGGAUGCUGCUGUUUCUGCAGCAGCUGCUGUUUCUACAGUGGAUGCUGUUGUUUCUACAGUGGAUGCUGCUGUUUCUACAGUGGAUGCUGCUGUUUCUGCAGUGGAUGCUGCUGUUUCUGCAGUGGCUGCUGUUUCUGCAGUGGAUGCUGCUGUUUCUGCAGUGGCUGCUGUUUCUGCUC